rnacentral:rRNA from 1 species
CAGUAGCCGCGGGAAUACGAGGGGGGCAAGCGUUGUUCGGAAUUAUUGGGCGUAAAGGGUGCGUAGGCGGCUUGACAAGUCUUGUGUGAAAUCUAUGGGCUCAACCCAUAGUCUGCACGGGAAACUGUCGGGCUUGAGAAUGGGAGAGGUGAGUGGAAUUUCCGGUGUAGCGGUGAAAUGCGUAGAUAUCGGAAGGAACACCUGUGGCGAAAGCGGCUCACUGGACCAUUUCUGACGCUGAUGCACGAAAGCUAGUGGAGCAAACAGGAUUAGAUACCCCCGUAGUCCCUGUCUCUUAUAU